rnacentral:rRNA from 1 species
UACAGAGGGUGCGAGCGUUGUCCGGAAUCACUGGGCGUAAAGGGCGCGUAGGUGGCGACCCAAGUCGAUGGUGAAAGCUCGCCGCUCAACGGCGAGUCGGCCACCGAUACUGGGUUGCUGGAGCACUGUAGAGGCAGAUGGAAUUCCGGGUGUAGCGGUGGAAUGCGUAGAGAUCCGGAAGAACACCGGUGGCGAAGGCGGCUCACUGGCUCAUAUCUGACGCUCGAGGCGCGGACAGC